GGUGUGUUUUCUUUGUGCUUUUCUGUGCUUUGCAAGGUGUUCCCCCCCCCCCCCCCAUCAGAAAACAAAAAAGAAUUCCAUUUAUCAAGUGUAGCUCAGCAGUGGUGCGUGAACCCCCCGGGCGUCCCCCAGGCCCCUUUCCACCUGCAGGGACUUGGCUACGGGGCCGCGGGCUCCCUGGAGCUCUCUGCUGCGGGGUCUUCCGGCCCUGGCCUCCUUACCUUAGCUGUUCCUUAGAAAAAUAGGGUAAUCGGCUGUUUUCUGGGACUUCCCAGCUUUCAGAUUGAAAGGAGGAAUUUCCCAAAUCCUCCGGAAGCCAGAACCCACGCUGUACCUCAUAGCGGAUGUCCCCAGCCACCGAAGAAGCUGGACUCUGCAAAUCUGAUUGCGUACAGGCUCCUCAGACAGAGCGGGACAAAGAAGACACUGUCUUUGGGAAAAAGUUCUUUACUUGUUAACAGCUCAUUCUUUUCUUGUCAGCCAUUAAUUGUAUCAUCUGAUGAUUUGUUGUAAGUAUUCUCUUUAAUGUUGUCAGCUUCUUGAAUAAUGAGACUUCAUUAUUAUAAUUAGACUAUUUUCAGGGGUGUCUGCGUGGCUCAGUCAGUUAAGCGUCUGCCUUCUGCUCAGGUCAUGAUCCCAGGGUCCUGGGAUCAAGCCCUACAUUGGGAUCCCUUCUCAGUGGGAGCAUGCUUUUCCCUCUCCCUCUGCCUGCCACAACCCCCUGCUUGUGCUCAUAAAUAAAUAAAUAAAUAAAUAAAUAAAUUAAAUAAAUAAAUUCUUUUUUAAAAAGUAUCUUCAAAUCACAAUUCUACCUAUUGUGUGAUUUUUCUUUCUGUCUUGGUUUCAUAGUAAUUUUUACCAUUGUUGGCCCAUGAUUUUGAGGGUUCCUCUCACAUUUUCUGCUUCUAGUUGGACAUGUCUUAUCUGCUUGGGUAAUGUGAUAUGAAGUAAUAAUGUCCAAAAAGAGUAUAUGACAAAAGUAAAUUUAAA
rnacentral:lncRNA from 1 species